CCUGGCUCAAUCAACUCUGCUCUAAGGAUCUCAUUCUGCUAACAAAGGUCCAGAGAAGGAAGGAGUCACAUGUUUCUCAGAGGAUACGUGGAUAACAAAAACAACGCCAUCCAGUUUGCCAAAACAAAGUCUCCCUGUGGCCCUGCUGUCACUUUCCAAGCUACAGACAAGUGCCUUUUUCCCCCUAACUCUCAACUCAGCAUUGUGGGAACUAAACAUCACAAUCAGCUUCAGGAGCCUCACUGUUGCCAUGGGUUACAUGAAUUCAAAUCUAAGGAUGGAACCAAAACAGGCCCUUAAAUAUCAGCCCUCGAGUGGGAGGUGAAAUGAAGUGCUCUAACACCUUAAAGGAAAACAGGAGACGCGUGGCAAGGGGGCUUGCAAGUCUUGGCGGAUACCCAGAGAAAUAAGAACGAAUGUCUGAAACUAGACCUGCGCCGUCCAAUGAUAGCCACUGGCCACAGGCGGCCAUUAAGCACUUGAAACAUGGCUAGUCUGAUUUAAGAUGUGCUAUAAGCGUAAAACCCACACCAGAUGGCAAAGACUCAGGAUGAAAAAGGAAUGUAAAAGUCACUUUAAUAAUUUUAGGUUAUUUUGUACAGUAGUCACUGUAUUGGGUUAUCUUAAAUAUACCAUAUAGUGAGUUAUCAUACAGAACUAAAUAAAUCGGGUUAAAUAAAAUAUAUUACUAGAAUUAAUUUCACCUGUCUCUUUUUACUUUUUAAAUGUGGGUACUGGAAAAUUUUAAAUUACAUAUAUGGCUUACAUUUGUGGCUUUCAUUUGUGAAUUACAUUCUGUUUCUGCUGGGCUGCAAACUGUGGGUACCUUUUUCCAAACUCAUCCCAACUCCCAUUCAAAUCCUUCCCUUUCUUUUUCCUUUUCCACAUUUCUCUCUCUCUCCUUUUUUUUU
rnacentral:lncRNA from 1 species